rnacentral:rRNA from 1 species
UACGAAGGGGGCUAGCGUUGUUCGGAAUCACUGGGCGUAAAGCGCACGUAGGCGGGUCUUUAAGUCAGAGGUGAAAUCCUGGAGCUCAACUCCAGAACUGCCUUUGAUACCGAGGAUCUUGAGUUCGGGAGAGGUGAGUGGAACUGCGAGUGUAGAGGUGAAAUUCGUAGAUAUUCGCAAGAACACCAGUGGCGAAGGCGGCUCACUGGCCCGAUACUGACGCUGAGGCACGAAAGCGUGGGGAGCAAACAGG